GAAUGAAUGUGAAUGUCCUCACAACUUUGGAGGCAGCAACUGCAGAGAUUGUUUGCUAACUGUUACUGACUGUCAGAACCAAUAUCUAUUAAAUCAAGCUAGCUGUCGCUGUGAAGCAUGUCCCUCUGGUUAUUAUCAAUUUCUUGUUGAUCCAGAAUCAAGAGUGCCAGAGAGUGUUGUUGGAUCACCAGGUGAAGAAGAAGGCCAUCACGAGAA